AACAAAUUAACUCAUUUAAAAAAAAAAUUUAUCUGUUCUAUUUGAUUCGCGUUUCAAAUCAUUAUUACAUAUUUGCAAAAUUUCUAGUUGGUCCAAACGGAAAUAGUUCAUUAGCAUAUUUUUUAUGGACCGAGGUUUCCGGAUGGCAGUAAUUUGAUUGGAUUUACUGGAACAGAUAGCCGGUAUCGGGUACUGCGAUAAAUCGGAAGCUUGUAUGUUAAAUUGCCAAACGAUAACCAGGAAUACAUAUAUGAAAAUGCAACUCGUGCGCUGCUGCAAAACUUGUACACAGGCUAUAAGGUUACAGUACUAGUCAACGAUAAAACGGCGCAGACACAGUCUCUGCUAAUUAUAGGCUCACUGGAAGGAACGGUCGCUUCGAUUACAAUGAAUGUCUUACCCAGUAGAAGUCACGCGAAAUCUACCAUAAAUUUCACCUCUCUGACGAAGGUGAAAUAAAUAUCUUCUAGUAUAUUUGUCUGGAAUAGAAAGACCUAAAAUUGUCAAGCCUCGGGAGAAUGUCUUAGGAAAAUGGUGGUUGCUGGGAAAUGUUAUUUCGGCGGGAGCUUUCUCCGGUGAUCCACUUGCUUGUGUCAUACAGAGAUUUAAAACUAACUCCUGUUAAAUGAUUUAUAUUUAUUCGGCCGAUUAUAACAG